rnacentral:lncRNA from 1 species
UUUUUUUUUUUUUUUUUUGAGUAUCUUUAUGAACUUCUCUAUUUUAGCAUAUAUUAUGUGUUUUAGUCCAUUUCAGUUAUUGUCCUUUUGUUGCUCAAAUUGCCCUAUCUUUGGGCAUAUAGGCUUAUUCAGAUUCACUCUGAGUCCUUAGGACACACUAACCUCUUGUAGUUUCCUUGCUUUCUGGUAUAAUGAGAUGGUCAGGGCUCAUCCUGUAACCAUCCUAUUCCAGGUUUGGAAUCAGAACAGACCAUUUUUAUUUUAUUUAUUUUAUUUUUUUGUCUUUUUUUUUUAAGGGCCAUUCCCACGGCAUAUGGAUUUUCCAAGGCUAGGGGUCUAAUCGGAGCUUUAGCUGCCAGCCUGUGCCACAGCCACAGCAGCGCAGGAUCUGAGCUGUGUCUGUAACCUACACCACAACUCAUAGCAACACCAGGUUCUUAACCCACUGAUUGAGGCCAGGGAUUGAACCUGCAACCUCAUGGUUACUAGUCAGGUUCGUUCAUCACUGAACCAAGAUGGGAACUCCAGAACAUCCCUUUUUAAAAGAAAAAAAAAAAACCCUAAAUGACCAACAAAUAUAUUAAAAUACUCAGUUUUACUAGUAUUAAAGAAAUGAAAUUAAAAGUAGAAGAUACCAUUUGUUAUGAAUAGAAUGGUUCUUCCUCAAAAAAUUUUUUUUUUUUUUUUUUGCUUUUUUUAGGGCCAUACCUGUGACAUAUGGAAGUUCCCACACUGGGGGUCGAAUCACAGCCACAGCCACAACCACCCUGGAUCCUUGACCCACUGAGUGAGGCCAGGGAUAGAACCUGCAUCCACAUGGGUACUAGUCAGGUUCAUUUUGCUGUGCCACAAUGGUCACUCCUUCCUCAAAUUCUUAGGUUGAAGACCUAACCCCCAGUGUGAUGAUAUUUGAAGAUGGGGCCUUUGGGAGGUAAUUAGGGUUAGGACGGAGCCCUCAAGGUGGAUUAAUACCUUAAUAGGAAGAGACAGACACUGCAGGGCUCACCAACCCCCUCCACAGCACUUCAUUCUCCACCCCCCCACCAUGUACGAAGAAGAGGUCAUAUGAGCACAGCCAGAUGGCAGCCACUUACAGGCAGAGAGAAAUUUACAUUGUUGGCAUCUUUAUCUGGAAGUUUUCAGCCUCCAGAAUUGUGAGAAAUAAAUUUCUGUUGUUUAAGCCACCCUAAACCAUGGUAUUUUUUAAUGGUAGCCUGAGCCAAGUAAGACACCAUUUUUCACUUAUUGCAUUGGCAGUAUAAUUUGGACUCAGUUUAGGCCUUCCUAGAUGUGAAACAGUUUGGUAAAGCUUGAUAUAAAGUAUAUUAUUAGGGUUACUUCUGGUAUCCCUUCUCUUGGUAGUCUUAAUAUUUGGGCAUUGCCCAGUUGGGAAUGGGAAUAAGGAUGAUUGAUAGUGAUUUCCAGUUCUGUGAAGAUAAAGGUAAAUGUAUGAUCUUGGUCUCAGCAGAGAUAUAAACUGACGCAUUUGUUCUAAAUAUGUUCUAAACUAUUAUGUAUCAAAAUGUAUCAAAUGCGUUAUAAAUCAAGAUUUGAAAGCCUUUAAACUAGCAAGUUCAUGUCUAGGAAUUUAUCCUAAACAAUAAUAGGAAAAGUUCGUUAAGAUAUAUGUAUAUAGUAAAGAACUAUUUACUGUGUACAGUCACAUAGUAAAUAAUUUUAAGGAAUUGAUUAAGUAGAUUAUGAUACCUUCAUUGCAUGUAGCCACUGAAAAUGAUGACAUAGAUCUAUAGCAGCUACUCUGGAAAGAUGCCCAUUACAUAUUACUGAGUGAAAAAGGUGGAUUACAGAACUUUAGGUGUAGCACUUGAACAUAAAAUAGGUUGAAAAUGCUGAACAUCAGGGCUUUGGAGGCCAAGAAUCGGAGCUUUGGGGAUCUAGGCUUCAGGGACCGCCUAAUGAUAGUCUCCUUCAGGUGCCAUGGUCUCAAAGAUGGCACCAACUGAUUCCAUUCUCCUGUUAUAAGAUUUAGCUUUCCUUGGGUUCCCUCUGUGGUGCAGUGGGUUAAGAAUCCAACUGCAGCAGCUUGGGGUGCCGGGGAGGUGCAGGUUUGAUUGCAGUGGCUUAAAGGAUCCGGUAUCUCCAUAGCUGUGGUGUAGGCUGGUAGCUUCAGCUCAGAUUCAGCCCCUGGCCUGGGAACUUCCAUAUGCUGUGGAUGUGGCCAUUAAAAAAAAAAAA